GUGUUCACUUCGGAAGCACAUAUACUAUAAUUGGAAUGAUAUGGAGAAGAUUAGCCUGGUCCCUCUACAAGGAUGACAUGCAAAUUUGUGAAGUAUUUUAUAUUUCU
rnacentral:snRNA from 1 species